AGAGUUUGAUCCUGGCUCAGAUUGAACGCUGGCGGCAGGCCUAACACAUGCAAGUCGAACGGUAACAGGAAGAAGCUUGCUUCUUUGCUGACGAGUGGCGGACGGGUGAGUAAUGUCUGGGAAACUGCCUGAUGGAGGGGGAUAACUACUGGAAACGGUAGCUAAUACCGCAUAACGUCGCAAGACCAAAGAGGGGGACCUUCGGGCCUCUUGCCAUCGGAUGUGCCCAGAUGGGAUUAGCUUGUUGGUGGGGUAACGGCUCACCAAGGCGACGAUCCCUAGCUGGUCUGAGAGGAUGACCAGCCACACUGGAACUGAGACACGGUCCAGACUCCUACGGGAGGCAGCAGUGGGGAAUAUUGCACAAUGGGCGCAAGCCUGAUGCAGCCAUGCCGCGUGUAUGAAGAAGGCCUUCGGGUUGUAAAGUACUUUCAGCGGGGAGGAAGGGAGUAAAGUUAAUACCUUUGCUCAUUGACGUUACCCGCAGAAGAAGCACCGGCUAACUCCGUGCCAGCAGCCGCGGUAAUACGGAGGGUGCAAGCGUUAAUCGGAAUUACUGGGCGUAAAGCGCACGCAGGCGGUUUGUUAAGUCAGAUGUGAAAUCCCCGGGCUCAACCUGGGAACUGCAUCUGAUACUGGCAAGCUUGAGUCUCGUAGAGGGGGGUAGAAUUCCAGGUGUAGCGGUGAAAUGCGUAGAGAUCUGGAGGAAUACCGGUGGCGAAGGCGGCCCCCUGGACGAAGACUGACGCUCAGGUGCGAAAGCGUGGGGAGCAAACAGGAUUAGAUACCCUGGUAGUCCACGCCGUAAACGAUGUCGACUUGGAGGUUGUGCCCUUGAGGCGUGGCUUCCGGAGCUAACGCGUUAAGUCGACCGCCUGGGGAGUACGGCCGCAAGGUUAAAACUCAAAUGAAUUGACGGGGGCCCGCACAAGCGGUGGAGCAUGUGGUUUAAUUCGAUGCAACGCGAAGAACCUUACCUGGUCUUGACAUCCACGGAAGUUUUCAGAGAUGAGAAUGUGCCUUCGGGAACCGUGAGACAGGUGCUGCAUGGCUGUCGUCAGCUCGUGUUGUGAAAUGUUGGGUUAAGUCCCGCAACGAGCGCAACCCUUAUCCUUUGUUGCCAGCGGUCCGGCCGGGAACUCAAAGGAGACUGCCAGUGAUAAACUGGAGGAAGGUGGGGAUGACGUCAAGUCACCAUGGCCCUUACGACCAGGGCUACACACGUGCUACAAUGGCGCAUACAAAGAGAAGCGACCUCGCGAGAGCAAGCGGACCUCAUAAAGUGCGUCGUAGUCCGGAUUGGAGUCUGCAACUCGACUCCAUGAAGUCGGAAUCGCUAGUAAUCGUGGAUCAGAAUGCCACGGUGAAUACGUUCCCGGGCCUUGCACUCACCGCCCGUCA
rnacentral:rRNA from 1 species